GNUUANGAGUAGCCGGGCUUCCUCGAUAGGUACCGUCAUUGCAAAGGAUUAUUCACCCUUCGCACGUUCGUCCCCAUCAACAGAGCUUUACGAUCCGAAGACCUUCUUCACUCACGCGGCGUUGCUCCGUCAGGCUUGCGCCCAUUGCGGAAGAUUCCCCACUGCUGCCUCCCGUAGGAGU
rnacentral:rRNA from 1 species